rnacentral:rRNA from 1 species
AUUGAACGCUGGCGGCAGGCCUAACACAUGCAAGUCGAACGAGUGGCGGACGGGUGAGUAAUGUCUGGGAACCUGUCCGAUAGCUGGGGAUCACUACUGGAAACGGUAGCUAAUACCGCAUACAAUCGGAUGUGCGCAGAUGGUAUUAGCUAGUAGGUGGGGUAACGGCUCACCUAGGCGACGAUCCCUAGCUGGUCUGAGAGGAUGACCAGCCACACUGGAACUGAGACACGGUCCAGACUCCUACGGGAGGCAGCAGUGGGGAAUAUUGCACAAUGGGCGCAAGCCUGAUGCAGCCAUGCCGCGUGAAUGAAGAAGGCCUUCGGGUUGUAAAGUACUUUCAUCGAGGAGGCGUUACUCGAAGAAGAAGCACCGGCUAACUCCGUGCCAGCAGCCGAGGUAAUAC